GAGUUCACUAAAAUUAUUACAUAGCUUAAUCAUUGUUGAUAUAUGUGUGUCGGAUUAUAAUGGAGUCAUUGUUUGGCUCUUCAGGUUUUGGAUCAGUUUCGGUUGAAAAGUUUGAUUUUUAUUUGCUGUCAUUUAGCGAACUUCUCACCACAUGGAACAGUUCUAUUAGUUUUUGACUCGAGAGUUCUCAGUGAGAACAUAGUAUAAAAUGUGACCAACAAUGGCUGUUAUUUUCCUACUGUGGAUUUAUAUGCUUUAUAUUGACAAUACAUAUGUUCAACUCAUACUUUGCAAUGUAAUAGAAAAUUUCAGUUUCUUGAGUUAUUUUGGUUUCAGCUUAAAAAAAGGAGGUUGUGUUUGGUAGCAAGCUA
rnacentral:sRNA from 1 species